rnacentral:rRNA from 1 species
AGUGAACGCUGGCGGUAGGCCUAACACAUGCAAGUCGAACGGCAGCACAGUAAGAGCUUGCUCUUACGGGUGGCGAGUGGCGGACGGGUGAGGAAUACAUCGGAAUCUACUUUUUCGUGGGGGAUAACGUAGGGAAACUUACGCUAAUACCGCAUACGACCUACGGGUGAAAGCAGGGGAUCUUCGGACCUUGCGCGAUUGAAUGAGCCGAUGUCGGAUUAGCUAGUUGGCGGGGUAAAGGCCCACCAAGGCGACGAUCCGUAGCUGGUCUGAGAGGAUGAUCAGCCACACUGGAACUGAGACACGGCCCAGACUCCUACGGGAGGCAGUAGUGGGGAAUAUUGGACAAUGGGCGCAAGCCUGAUCCAGCCAUACCGCGUGGGUGAAGAAGGCCUUCGGGUUGUAAAGCCCUUUUGUUGGGAAAGAAAAGCAGCAGGUUAAUACCCCGCUGUUCUGACGGUACCCAAAGAAUAAGCACCGGCUAACUUCGUG